CCCUUAGAUGUUCUGGGCCGCACGCGUGCUACACUGAACGGUUCAAUGGGUAAGGUAGUGCGAAAGCAUGACCUAAUCUCGAAAUCCGUUCGUGCUGGGGAUAGAAGCUUGCAAUUAUCCUUCUUGAACGAGGAAUACCUUGUAAGCGUGAGUCACCAUCUCACGCUGAAUACGUCCCUGCCCUUUGUACACACCGCCCGUCGCUCCUACCGAUUGAGUGUUCCGGUGAGGCUUUGGGAGAAUGGCCUCAACAUGAGUUUAUCGUGUUUUGCCGUUUGAACUUAGUCAAACCUUAUCACUUAGAGGAAGGAGAAGUCGUAACA
rnacentral:rRNA from 1 species